GCCGGGAGAUCAUGCCAGACUUGACUUGACUCUUAAUCAGUAGGUUCGGGGUUCGAGUCCCUGGCGGGGCA
rnacentral:tRNA from 1 species